rnacentral:rRNA from 1 species
UACGGAGGGUGCAAGCGUUAUCCGGAUUUACUGGGUUUAAAGGGUGUGUAGGCGGACUUUUAAGUCAGGGGUGAAAUCCCGAGGCUCAACCUCGGAACUGCCUUUGAUACUAUUGGUCUUGAAUGUUGUUGAGGUGGGCGGAACGGGUCAUGUAGCGGUGAAAUGCAUAGAUAUGUCAUAGAACACCGAUUGCGAAGGCAGCUGACAAAACUGUAACUGACGCUGAGGCACGAAAGUGUGGGGAUCAA